UUGAUCCUGCCGGACCCGACUGCUAUCGGAUUGGGACUAAGCCAUGCGAGUCAACUCCGCAAGGGGUGGCGCACGGCUCAGUAACACGUAGUCAACCUACCCUGGGGACGGGGAUAACCUCGGGAAACUGAGGCUAAACCCCGAUAGGCCAUGGCUCCUGGAAUGGGCUAUGGCUGAAAUCUAUAUGGCCCCAGGAUGGGACUGCGGCCGAUCAGGUUGUUGGUGGGGUAAUGGCCCACCAAGCCUAUAACCGGUGCGGGCUCUGAGAGGAGGAGCCCGGAGAUGGGCACUGAGACAAGGGCCCAGGUCCUAUGGGGCGCAGCAGGCGCGAAACCUCCGCAAUGGGCGAAAGCCCGACGGGGUCAGUCCGAGUGGUUCCCGCUGAGGGAACCUUUUGCCAGCUGUAAACAGGCUGGCGAAUAAGGGGUGGGCAAGUUUGGUGUCAGCCGCCGCGGUAAUACCAGCACCCCGAGUGGUCGGGACGAUUAUUGGGCCUAAAGCAUCCGUAGCCGGCCCAGUAAGUCCUCCGUUAAAUCCAACGGCUCAACCGUUGGGCUGCGGGGGAUACUGCUGGGCUAGGGGACGGGAGAGGCGAGGGGUAUUCCCGGGGUAGGGGUAAAAUCCACUGAUCCCGGGAGGACCACCAGUGGCGAAGGCGCCUCGCUAGAACGUGCCCGACGGUGAGGGAUGAAAGCUGGGGGAGCGAACCGGAUUAGAUACCCGGGUAGUCCCAGCCGUAAACGAUGUAGGCUCGGUGUUGGGCUGCCUCAGUGGCAGCCCAGUGCCGCAGGGAAGCCGUUAAGCCUACCGCCUGGGGAGUACGGCCGCAAGGCUGAAACUUAAAGGAAUUGGCGGGGGAGCACCACAAGGGGUGAAGCCUGCGGUUUAAUUGGAGUCAACGCCGGG
rnacentral:rRNA from 1 species